rnacentral:rRNA from 1 species
GACGAACGCUGGCGGCGUGCUUAACACAUGCAAGUCGAACGGAAAGGCCCUGCUUUUGUGGGGUGCUCGAGUGGCGAACGGGUGAGUAACACGUGAGUAACCUGCCCUUGACUUUGGGAUAACUUCAGGAAACUGGGGCUAAUACCGGAUAGGAGCUCCUGCUGCAUGGUGGGGGUUGGAAAGUUUCGGCGGUUGGGGAUGGACUCGCGGCUUAUCAGCUUGUUGGUGGGGUAGUGGCUUACCAAGGCUUUGACGGGUAGCCGGCCUGAGAGGGUGACCGGCCACAUUGGGACUAAGAUACGGCCCAGACUCCUACGGGAGGCAGCAGUGGAGAAUAUUGCACAAUGGGCGGAAGCCUGAGGCAGCAACGCCGCGUGCGGGAUGACGGCCUUCGGGUUGUAAACCGCUUUCGCCUGUGACGAAGCGUUAGUGACGGUAAUGGGUAAAGAAGCACCGGCUAACUACGUG